UCCUGCAUCCGAAAGUGGUCGUGGCUGCCUGUGCCCUGGCCAUUGGUAGUGCAGGGACAGGAAUCGCGGGAAGGCGUUUUCCCCGUGUUCGGAGGGUCAGCCCUGUCCCUCCCGAACCCUGAAGCUUCCCCACA
ensembl:snoRNA SNORA71 Small nucleolar RNA SNORA71